rnacentral:rRNA from 1 species
AUUGAACGCUGGCGGCAGGCCUAACACAUGCAAGUCGAACGAGUGGCGGACGGGUGAGUAAUAUAUCGGAAUCUACUCUGUCGUGGGGGAUAACUUAGGGAAACUUACGCUAAUACCGCAUACGAUCGAAUGAGCCGAGGUCGGUUUAGCUAGUUGGUGGGGUAAAGGCCCACCAAGGCGACGAUCCGUAGCUGGUCUGAGAGGAUGAUCAGCCACACUGGAACUGAGACACGGUCCAGACUCCUCCGGGAGGCAGCAGUGGGGAAUAUUGGACAAUGGGCGCAAGCCUGAUCCAGCCAUACCGCGUGGGUGAAGAAGGCCUUCGGGUUGUAAAGCCCUUUUGUUGGGAAAGCGGUACCCAAAGAAUAAGCACCGGCUAACUUCGUGCCAGCAGCCGCGGUAAUAC